GUAUUAGGUUGGUGCAAAAGUAAUUGCAGUUUUGGUCAUUACCUUCAAUAGCAAAAACUGCAAUUACCUUUGCACCAACCUAAUAU
ensembl:miRNA